GACGAACGCUGGCGGCGUGCUUAACACAUGCAAGUCGAACGGUGAAGGAGAGCUUGCUCUCCGGAUCAGUGGCGAACGGGUGAGUAACACGUGGGCAACCUGCCCCAGACUUCGGGAUAACGCUUCGAAAGAGGUGCUAAUACCGGAUACGAACUCCUUGGGCAUCCUUGGAGUUGGAAAGUUUUUCGUUCUGGGAUGGGCCCGCGGCCUAUCAGCUUGUUGGUGAGGUAACGGCUCACCAAGGCGACGACGGGUAGCCGGCCUGAGAGGGCGACCGGCCACACUGGGACUGAGACACGGCCCAGACUCCUACGGGAGGCAGCAGUGGGGAAUAUUGCGCAAUGGGCGAAAGCCUGACGCAGCAACGCCGCGUGAGGGAUGACGGCCUUCGGGUUGUAAAGCUCUUUCGGCCGGGAAAAAAUCGCAUGGGUUAAUACCCUGUGUGGAUGAUGGUACCGGAAUGAGAAGCACCGGCUAACUACGUGCCAGC
rnacentral:rRNA from 1 species